GAAAAGAUGUCACACUUGUUGGCUGGGGGUAACACAAGUCCAUGUGCUAUUAGAGGUAGCUGAACAGGCGAAAAUGGAUUUUAAUGUCGAUUGUGAAGUUAUUGAUUUUGGUUUCUAUUUUGCCGUGGGAUACUAAUGCAAUAUGUACCUCUGCGAAAAAAAACCGGGCGAGUUAUAAUUGCGCACGAGGCACCGUUAACACAGGGAUUUGGCCCAGAACUAGCAUCUUACAUUCAAGAAAAGUG